UACGUAGGGGGCAAGCGUUGUCCGGAUUUAUUGGGCGUAAAGAGCGUGUAGGCGGCCAGACAGGUCCGUUGUGAAAACUCGAGGCUCAACCUCGAGACGCCGAUGGAAACCGUCUGGCUAGAGUCCGGAGGAGGAGAGUGGAAUUCCUGGUGUAGCGGUGAAAUGCGCAGAUAUCAGGAAGAACACCCGUGGCUAAGGCGGCUCUCUAGUACGGUACUGACGCUGAGACGCGAAAGCGUGGGGAGCGAACAGG
rnacentral:rRNA from 1 species